CUCGCACAGCGCGCUCCUUCCGCCGAGGCCGUGGCAGGAACGCCAAGUAGUCCCAACCGCCUCCUCCGCCUCACUCAGCAAAACGCUCCGUCGCGCCCUUCCUUACCCUGGACACUCUUACAGGAACGGGGGGAUAAGACUUUCCCUUCCCGCAUUCCACCCCCCCCCGGCUGGAUAAUCGGGAUGUAAGGGAUGGGGGGUGGGGGAGGUGAAAAAAGCCCAGCGCCGGCUGCGGCGGAGGGAUCCGGAGGCGCGGAGGAGUGAGGAGGCGCGGGGAGCGCUGCGCGGAGCGGGGGGGGGGGGUGAGCGGGAAAACGCGGCGCGGAGCCGGAACAGCGCCCCCCCCUCCCCUGCGGCGGGGGCGGGAACAGCGCCCCCCCCUCCCCUCACCCUCUGAGGGGGUCGCUGUGAGGGGUUGGGGGGGGGGACGCGCCAAAGUUUUGGGAAACUUUCCCCUGUUUGAAGCUUGAGGGGUCGUUUCUAAGCUCCCCCCACCCUCUCGCCGCGGUGCCCUGAGCGCCCUCAGAGCGGGUCCCACAGCGGCGCCGCCUGUGCCGCCUCCCCCCCCCCCCCAUCCUUCAGUGUGUCAGCGCACCUGGGUUUUUCCCCUCAUUCCUUCCCUCCCUCCCUCCCUCUCUGGGAGCCGCUCUCCCUGCGCCCCACAGAUAAGGCGCUGGGCUCACCCCACCCCACGGGGCGCUCGGUUGUGCUGGAUAAGCAGGGCCCCGCCACGUUGAGGGGAAGUUUGCCCCGUUUCUCUUCCCCCCCCCCCUCGCCCCCGGGUGUUUGACUUCGCACAGGACCCCCCAGCGCACCCUCCCUUAACCCCGCAGGGAGCUGCGAUCACCCCUCACCCCCCCAUCCAUCCCCCUGUCCCGGUUACACUCGUGUCCUCCUAUUAACCCUGUGCAGAGAGGACAAAAGCUAAACUAUGAUCCUGGCUCUGCCUCCCCCCCCCCCCCCCCCAUCCCGCUCCCGGCUCCAUGAGCUUCACAUCCUCCUGCUAAGGCUGAAAGGAACAAGAACAAGAGCUGCUGAUGGUUGUAAGGCCUCGCUCGGCUCUCCCCACCCCCUCCGCCGGCACCAUCCCCCACUGCAGCUCCCAUGGACUCGUAUCCCUCCCAUUAACGCUGAAAGGGGAGGACAGGAGCCCUGAUGGGUUUUUCUCAGGCUUUACUCUUGUUUUUUCCCCCCCACACCCACCCACACACACACCCCCUCUCUACCAACCGGCACCAGCUCCACAGCCCCUGCAGAAGUGCAGAGCUGGCUCUUGCCGGCACAUCCAUGGAUGCCCCUUUCCCUCUGAGCACAUCCAUGAAAUGUCCCUUCCCUCUGAGCUCCAAAGGGGAAAAAAAAAAAAAAAAAAACAAAAACGAAAAAGAGAAAAAAAACCACCCUCGUUCUGCUUAUUCAUUAUAAGCGCUUGGCAGUGUGCUGUUAAAAACGUGCGAUCUCUUGUUUUUAGAAGCAUCUGUGCUUUAAGAAUAAGGUUUUGUCUCCUUGAAUGUGGCUCUUCAUAAUAAUCUCUUGAAGUGCUGCGUUUUUGUCCUUAAAGUUCUAUUUUAUUACCUCUUCUGGAUCGGUGAAGGUCGGUUUAACCCUUUAGAGAUGAAAAUCAGGAGCCACUUUAGGAAAAUGUUGCUUUUUUUCUUUACUAAUUCGUGGUUGCAAUAAUAUUUUAUUGAGGAUUUUUUUCCCCCCAGCCCAGUCCUGCAUGCUGAAGGAAGUGUGUGCUUCAGCACUGAUUAAAGUCAUGUAUGAGUUAAUGAGAAGCUUGCAGAGUAUGUGAAGCAAGAGAAAAUCUUUAACCAGCUCUGCUGUUCCUUCUACAUACCACAAACUUGCACGCUGUAACCAGAAGGUGGAUUGAAUAUGUGUGAAAUGCUGCAGUAGGAGACUCUUAAAUCGCAUCACAGGCUUGCCCUGGAAAAAGAAGAGAGUGACCUUUCCCCAUCUGGAGUAGAUGGAUUUGCCAUCAACAAUUGUAAAUGGAUGACUUAAUGAUGGGGUCUACGCUUGGAAUUUUGAAUUCUGUGAUUGCACCACGUUUCUGGAGUUCUGCACAUGGUCUUUUCUGAACUGGUUGCAGAAGAGCUUUCAGAGGGGCUGCUGGUGCUGGUUAUUUCCUCUAAUUUGGAGUUUCCUCACACUGGGCUUGAGGAGUCUCUGCUGGCUGCCUCACACCAGGAUUUUGAGGAAAUUGUAUCCCACUUCAUCCACAAGGACAUCAACCUCCAGCAUAAAAACAAUGUUGCACCAGACCAAAUGCUCUACUGAUUUUGGGGGCUGUGAGAUCAGCUGUGUCUUCCUUUACCCAGAAAAAUCUGCUUCCUUAUCAAAGAGAGACAUCAGCUUUGUCUGGCAUGAUUGCCUGUGUUAAACCUUUUUUUUUGCAUUUUAUCUCUUUACUUUCCUCUACAUCUUUGCCCCCUCCAGAGGAAAAAUAAUUUACAUUUUGAGGUCAGGUUAAUUAGCCUCCAGUUGUCUGGACUUACUUUCCAGGUAUUUGUAUUGAUUUUGGGGUGGUUUUUUCUCCUUUCUCCCCAUAAUAGGAUGCCAAUUUUUGAUUAUUUUUGUACUUCUAGAAGUGGUAGAAAAAAACCCCACUCAUUUGCAUCACAACUCAACUAUUAGGCUUCAUGUUUUGAUUGGGUUUUGCUUGUUGGUGGGUUUUUUUUUGUUUGGUAUUUUUGCCUUUUUAAAGAAGGAUGCUUUGUCACGACUGUGGAUGCAGGAAAAAGUAAUGAAUUGCAAAGUUCUUCAAAAAAUAAUGAUAAUGAGAAGGUCCUUAAGCAAUGAUAGCUGGGUCCAGGGCUCUGUUAUCCUGUGGCACUGUUGAUAAGUGCCAGUGGCUGAUCACUGACAUGCAGAACUUCUGUUCCUGGUGCUGCUUCAGCUUUAUUUAAACAGAAACUGAAGUGUGCUGGGGACUCUGCACUCGUGCAUGAGGUAGUCCUGAACAAAAUACACUCUAAGAAUAGACAAAGUAAACAAAACAAUGGGAAGACAGUGAAUCCAGAGGGUCAGGAUUACGUAGGGAAGGCUCCAGUGCCCUCAGUGCCCUCCUGAACCCAUGGCACGGGAAAACCGAGGUCAGCCACUAUGUUUCCUGCAGCUGGGGAAAAGUCAUAUUUUUAAAUGCUUUGUUUUGUCCUGUAGUUAAUUCCACUCUUUUUCUAACAGCUAAACUGAACAGGAAUCUUUCUGAGCAGGUUUCACUCAGGUACCCAAUUCUAUCCAAUUAAAUGUUUGGAUUUGGGGUGGUUUUUUGGUGUUGUUUUUUCAGGGGUUUGCCAGAUAUACUCAAUAUUUUUCCAAAUAUUUGAAAACUAUGUAUUUUUUUAUGAUUCUUCAGCAUGUUUUACAGAGGAAGUUCUGACCAAUGCCUUGGUUUUACUGAAAAUUCAUGUCUUAUGCCCAGCCUUUACAAGCAGAGCUAUUGCCAAGGUGUGAUCACCUUGGCCCCUCUCAAGUCAGAGAUAACUGAUAGAUAAAAAUGACCUCGUUUCACAGUCCCACAGCUGAACUCUGAAAGUUCCAGCCAAGCUGGUCAGAAUGUGUUUGAAUUUUUUUGUUUCUAAGUAAAUGUCACUGAGGUACCAACUCGUGACAUUCAGAAUCUGACUUUGAGGCCACGUGCAUUUGAGGUCGAUGGGGUGGAGGCCUCGAGCAGAAAAUGGGUCCCAUCCCCACACACAGACCCCCUGUGUGAAUGUGAACCCCAUGUGGGUUGAUUACAGAACUCAAGAUUGUGAAAUACACAUUUAUGGGUGGCUGCUGAAAGGCAGAUAAUUAGAAUUUCUCUCUGACCCUUCCAUGAGCAAAUGUUUCCAAGCUGCUCAACACCUUGUUUAAGUGGAAUAUUGGGGUUGGUUUGGUUUACUCGUUUUUCCACCAGCUAUUUGUGCCUGCCUUUGUACAGCUGGAAUGAAGGGACGCUACUAAGUGUUCUCCCCAUAGCAUGAAUAUUUAAUAGUUUGCGUGUUCUUUCUCUGUAUCGUGGGUGUGCCUAUAGAACACCAACAAAACAUCUUAAAAUCAGGUUUUGCACGAGAUUUUCAAAGCACAUCAUGGGAUUGAGUCACACUGCUGAGUAAACUACACCACUGUAGCAUUUCACCUAAAAUUUGGGUUUGCCACAUGGUGGUAUUUUACAAACCAGCACGGGUUCAGUGAACUCCCCCUCAAGAUUUAAUUCCAGUUUGAUCCAACUUCCCAGUACGGACAAACUGGUGUCCUUUAGAAAUAAAAGAAAAAAUCUUUAGCCCGCUGAAAAGAAGAUUUUUUUCUUUGUUUCUCAGAUGUGCAGACACUCAUGUUCUCCAGCUCUGAGCUGCUGGGAGUCUGCUGGGCGGAUCCUGCAAAGUGCUGAGUCCAUGGCUAACUUUAAGGGAGUAUAUCCUGAAAAUCACCGGGACUGCUGAUGUUUAAAAUUACACAGAGACUUAAGUACUCUGAUGGCCCCCGGCCAGUGGCCUUCACAUCUUCUAGGACUGAGCCCUAAGGAGACACAGUGUACGGCUGCAGCUGAAUUUCCUUUUCCCAUUUUAAAUAUAAGGUUUAAAGCCCAAAUUCUGACAGCUGUUUAAUUAAAGAUACUCAUUUUAACCGUGAGGAACGUGAUA